rnacentral:misc_RNA from 1 species
AACGCACAUUGCGCCUUCUGGUAUUCCGGUAGGCAUGCCUGUUUGAGCGUCAGCAAACACUCUCAGCCCUGAUAUUUUAUUACAUCAGGUUGCUGGUCUUGGGUAGUGGAUGCUGGUGGCUAUUUCCGCCACCUGCGCCCUCCCUAAACUUGCUGCACGACCGCAAGCCCCUUCUAGCUAGGUCAAUGGAGUGGUGUUACAAUCUUCCAAAAAGCCUGCUGGUAACCGCUCUGCGGCGUUAAACCCAAUGUCCCCUUACCGGGACUGAAGUUUUGACCUCAGAUCAGACAAGGAUACCCGCUGAACUUAA